AACCCAUGAGGGUGAUGUCAUAAAGGGGUUUAACGCAAUAAAGGUGCUACCCCAUAUUUUGGUGUUUGAUUUGAAUUCGAAAACACUAAAAUAUUUUAAUAGCUAAAAAACCCUAAAGGCUAGUUUAUAGGCAAAAGUAUUUAAAAUAUUUUAUCUUGAGGGAAUUCUUGUCCAAAGAGUUGAAUCAUAUGAAGAUAUGAUUUUACAAAUUUGUUGCAUUUUAUUUGACUUGAAUUGAAACUUUAAAUCAAAAGUUGCAUUCAGAAACAGAAAAUAGAAAUAGAAAAAAAAAAGAAAAAGAAAGGGGUAUCGGACCGACCCAAUCAGGCCGGCCCACUUACCCAGGCGCCGCGGCCCAUCUCCACACAGCACGCGCGGCCGCUGCCACCGAUUGUAUAUCUACCUGCCUGUGAUGUGCUCUAGCUAGGCCGAUGCUUUUUUGUAAAACCCAUUCUUCUUUCUUCAUUUCAGGAGCGCAAUUUCUCUGCAGCUAGCCUUCAUAAUUGGCAGAAAUCUUGCUCGGUGUCCACAUUUUCAGAUAGCAAGGUCAUUGCCUUCAGAAGCUGGUUCAGGAAGCACUAAACAAGUGUUAGGCUAGCGGGG
rnacentral:lncRNA from 1 species